UACGUAGGGUGCAAGCGUUAAUCGGAAUUACUGGGCGUAAAGCGUGCGCAGGCGGUUUUGUAAGUCAGAUGUGAAAUCCCCGGGCUCAACCUGGGAAUUGCAUUUGUGACUGCACGGCUAGAGUGUGUCAGAGGGGGGUAGAAUUCCACGUGUAGCAGUGAAAUGCGUAGAGAUGUGGAGGAAUACCGAUGGCGAAGGCAGCCCCCUGGGAUAACACUGACGCUCAUGCACGAAAGCGUGGGGAGCAAACAGG
rnacentral:rRNA from 1 species